ensembl:antisense 4921534H16Rik RIKEN cDNA 4921534H16 gene
ACAUUCCACAGUGCGAACAGCAGGCAGAACUUCUCAGAGAGGAGACUAGCAGCUACCUUUUAAGUCUUCUAGGUCAUUUUCAAUGAUUUGUAACUGGUUCAAGUCCCUCUACCUGUGAGAAGGGGAACAGAGAGCCUGGAACCCAGAGGAUCUGAUCCCAAAGCUAUCCCUUCUCUCACUCUCUUGGAUGGUCUCUGUCAUCAGGUUGCUCACAGGCACCAAUAAGGGUGGAGGGGACAAUCUACAGUGCCACAGAGCCUGUUGAUACUGUGCUGUCGCAAUAUAUUCUACAUAUUAAGUUUCUGGAAUACUUCAAGAUCCGAACCAACCAGAACACAAAGUCGUUGUCUUGCUCCAUUUGUGCCACUACAACAGAACACCAUACACUGGACCGUUUCUAAAGAAGAGAGAUUGAUGUUUCAGUUCUGAAGACAGUGGGGGCAAUGGCAUCUUGCAUCUGUUGGGGGAACUUGCUGCUUCCUUCCAGGAAAGAAGACAGAAAGGCAUUCAAAGGAAGCAGACAUUGCAGCCUGCCAUGACAGAAGAGCUGAGUGAGGGGAGCGAACCCAUUCCCACAAGCCCUUUCCAUAGCAGCGUCAAUUCAUUAUAACAGAAAGAAGCGUCUCCCACUUAGCACUGUCCCCUGACUGUCACACUAAGAUCUCCCAUUCAGCACUGUCCCCCUGAGUGUCAUACUAAGAUCUCCCACUUAGCACUGUCCCCCUGACUGUCACACUAAGCUCUCCCAUUCAGCAUUGUCCCCCUGACUGUCACACUAAGAUCUCCCACUUAGCACUGUCCCCCUGACUGUCACACUACGAUUUCCUUCCAACAAAUAAAUUGGGUGAGGAGACACUUUUUGAUAUGAAAAAAAAACAUACUUUGUGACUUCAUCUUACAGAACAAAGGAAAUAAAUUAGCUAGCUAUCAAGGCUAUCAGAAGACAGUGGCCAUAAGACUUGGAACAUUAAUGCCAAGGGUCCCUCAUCAAUUACAUCUCAAAACUUAGGGGCACAUGAAAGGAACUGAAGAAGAAAUCUGAGGACAUCCGUGGCUACCUAAACAAACCUAUUGGCUGGUAUUGUUCUGCUAUUGCAGGGAAGCCCCAUCCUUGAAACUGUAGAAUUUGCAUUAAUACUAGCUUCUAGAUUUACUUUGCAGCUUUUGAGGACUGAUUUUGCCAAGGUCCCACAAGACACGAGGAGCACACAUCUAAAUAGAGAGUCUCAUUCAGGAGUCUUAACCAUUUUUAAGCCAAAUGUCCAAUGACUAUUUUUCACUUGUCACAUAAAAAAUAUGCUUACUGCUACCCAUAUAUAUCAUAUAUGUAUUCUAUAGACAUACUUAUGCUUGUCAUCACAACAAAGCAAAAUAAAAGAUUAUAUUAUUGCC